rnacentral:rRNA from 1 species
GUGCCAGCAGCCGCGGUAAUACGUAGGGUGCAAGCGUUAAUCGGAAUUACUGGGCGUAAAGCGAGUGCAGGCGGUUUGUUAAGCUAGAUGUGAAAGCCCCGGGCUCAACCCGGGAAUUGCGUUUAGAACUGGCAAGCUAGAGUGUGUCAGAGGGGGGUAGAAUUCCACGUGUAGCAGUGAAAUGCGUAGAGAUGUGGAGGAAUACCGAUGGCGAAGGCAGCCCCCUGGGAUAACACUGACGCUCAUACUCGAAAGCGUGGGUAGCAAACAGGAUUAGAUACCCUGGUAGUCCACGCCCUAAACGAUGACAAUUAGCUGUUGGGGAAUUAAAAGUCCUUGGUAGCGUAGCUAACGCGUGAAAAUUGUCCGCCUGGGGAGUACGGUCGCAAGAUUAAAACUCAAAGGAAUUGACGGGGACCCGCACAAGCGGUGGAUGAUGUGGAUUAAUUCGAUGCAACGCGAAGAACCUUACCUAGCCUUGACAUGUACGGAAGUCCGAUGAAAGUUGGAUGUGCCUUCGGGAACCGUAACACAGGUGCUGCAUGGCUGUCGUCAGCUCGUGUCGUGAGAUGUUGGGUUAAGUCCCGCAACGAGCGCAACCCUUGUCAUUAGUUGCUACCAUUUUGUUGAGCACUCUAAUGAGACUGCCGGUGACAAACCGGAGGAAGGUGGGGGAUGACGUCAAGUCCUCAUGGCGCUUAUGGCUAGGGCUUCACACGUCAUACAAUGGUCGGUACAGAGGGUAGCCAAACCGCGAGGUGGAGCCAAUCUCUUAAAGCCGAUCGUAGUCCGGAUCGCACUCUGCAACUCGAGUGCGUGAAGUCGGAAUCGCUAGUAAUCGCGGAUCAGAAUGCCGCGGUGAAUACGUUCCCGGGUCUUGUACACACCGCCCGUCACACCAUGGGAGUGGGGGAUACCAGAAGUGGGUAGGAUAACCGUAAGGAAUCCGCUUACCACGGUAUGCUUCAUGACUGGGGUGAAGUCGUAACAAGGUAACCGA